AAAUAAUUUAAAAUGAACUUCUAAUUCAACAAUUAAUGAUUAUUCCAUCAAUCAUUUU
rnacentral:tRNA from 1 species